UUUUGUGAGAUAUAGCCUGCCCGAGAGAGGGAGUUUUUAAAAGCGGUACAUAAAUGUGUUUCUGGUGGAGGUAAAGUUCUAAUUCCAACGUUUGCUCUGGGAAGAGCUCAGGUAUUGUAGUUCUCUUAAUUCUACUUUAUGGGACAAAGUGAUGGUUAAGUGUGAUAACUAUAUAUGACUUAAAUGAGCAAGUUUCCCUGAGAAGUACCAUUCUGAGGGCACACUGUUCAAAGGUUUCAUAAUUUGUGAUGACUUGUUCCACUUUUUAAAAAAAUCAGUAGAGUUGUCUGGACAGCUAACCUCUUGACUGCUUAUGUUUGAUUUGUAUUUGAUAUGUGCUUUUAAUUAUUUAUUAACUAGCAGUAGACUCCUAAUUCCAUGCUUGGUUAAU